CCCUCCGGGUAAGGGUGACCUGCGGAAGGAUCAUUA
rnacentral:rRNA from 1 species